GAACUUGCCUUUGCGAGGGGGAUAACAGUUGGAAACGACUGCUAAUACCGCAUAAUGUCUUCGGACCAAACGGGGCUUCGGCUCCGGCGCAAAGAGAGGCCCAAGUGAGAUUAGCUAGUUGGUAAGGUAAAGGCUUACCAAGGCGACGAUCUCUAGCUGUUCUGAGAGGAAGAUCAGCCACACUGGGACUGAGACACGGCCCAGACUCCUACGGGAGGCAGCAGUGGGGAAUAUUGCACAAUGGGGGAAACCCUGAUGCAGCCAUGCCGCGUGUGUGAAGAAGGCCUUCGGGUUGUAAAGCACUUUCAGUUGUGAGGAAAAGUUAGUAGUUAAUACCUGCUAGCCGUGACGUUAACAACAGAAGAAGCACCGGCUAACUCCGUGCCAGCAGCCGCGGUAAUACGGAGGGCGCGAGCGUUAAUCGGAAUUACUGGGCGUAAAGCGCACGCAGGCGGUUUGUUAAGCUAGAUGUGAAAGCCCCGGGCUCAACCUGGGAUGGUCAUUUAGAACUGGCAGACUAGAGUCUUGGAGAGGGGAGUGGAAUUCCAGGUGUAGCGGUGAAAUGCGUAGAUAUCUGGAGGAACAUCAGUGGCGAAAGGCGACUCCCUGGCCAAAGACUGACGCUCAUGUGCGAAAGUGUGGGUAGCGAACAGGAUUAGAUACCCUGGUAGUCCACACCGUAACGCUGUCUACUAGCUGUGUGUGUCUUU
rnacentral:rRNA from 1 species